GAACUUUCUCAUCCAACACCCGUUCAAGUCGGAGGAUGCUGAUUAAUUCAUGAUGGAAAGGUAUCAAUUUCACAGCCCAGACCUCUACAUUCUUGAAAUGCUCUUCUCAUGGGAGACAUUAAAUAAGCUUUGAAUUAACUGACCUUGUAUUGAAGACAGCGUAACCCCCAAGAGGAAAGGAGCUUGGAGCCCUGAAUCAGAGUAGAAGACAGGCUGAAUGAAUACCAGCCUUGGACUGUUGUGUGAAUGAAAAACAAGUUUUGAGAUUUGUGUGGUUUAUUUAUUAUAGUUACUGUUAUUAUUAAAGUUUUUCACUGCUU
rnacentral:lncRNA from 1 species